AUUGAACGCUGGCGGCAGGCCUAACACAUGCAAGUCGAGCGAGCGGCGGACGGGUGAGUAAUGUAUGGGGACUCCCCGAUAGAGGGGGAUAACUACUGGAAACGGUGGCUAAUACCGCAUACUAUCGGAUAACCCAUAUGGGAUUAGCUAGUAGGUGGGGUAAAGGCUCACCUAGGCGACGAUCUCUAGCUGGUCUGAGAGGAUGAUCAGCCACACUGGGACGUAGACACGGCCCAGACUCCUACGGAGGCAGCAGUGGGGAAUAUUGCACAAUUGGGGAAAGCCUGAUGCAGCCAUGCCGCGUGUAUGAAGAAGGCCUUAGGGUUGUAAAGUACUUUCAGCGGGGAAGCGUUACCCGCAGAAGAAGCACCGGCUAACUCCGUGCCAGCAGCCGCGGUAAUUC
rnacentral:rRNA from 1 species